GAUGAACGCUGGCGGCGUGCCUAAUACAUGCAAGUCGAGCGAACAGACGAGGAGCUUGCUCCUCUGACGUUAGCGGCGGACGGGUGAGUAACACGUGGAUAACCUGCCCGUGAGUCUGGGAUAACUUCGGGAAACUGGGGCUAAUACCGGAUAAGAUCUUCUGCCGCAUGGUGGGGGGGGGAAAGUCGGGGGGGUUGGGGAUGGACGCGGGGUUUAUCAGCUUGUUGGUGGGGGAGUGGGUCACCGAGGCUGAGGCGGGUAGCCGGCCUGAGAGGUGGACCGGCCACAUUGGGACUGCGAUACGGCCCAGACUCCUACGGGAGGCAGCAGUGGGGAAUAUUGCACAAUGGGCGGAAGCCUGAUGCAGCAACGCCGCGUGCGGGAUGACGGCCUUCGGGUUGUAAACCGCUUUCGCCUGUGACGAAGCGUGAGUGACGGUAAUGGGUAAAGAAGCACCGGCUAACUACGUG
rnacentral:rRNA from 1 species